rnacentral:piRNA from 1 species
UCUUCAGUUGUGGGGAGGAGGACCGAC